CUGCCUCUGUGAUUCAAGUAUUCAUUUGGUGGCUCCAACUCCUGAUAUCUGACUAACAUUGCUAAUCAUGUGUCAAAUUGAAUGAAUUUUAGAAAUGCAACAACUCUUCUGGUGUGUGGUGAUCAAUGUGGUCUUACCUGAAAGUUUGGGUAAGAUGGAAAAAUAUAAUGCCAAAUAUUUUCUACAUUUUAGAGGAGAAAAAGAACAGCAGAGACUCCAACAAGGCACUGAGACAAAAAGUAUGAGCAAAGGCAAAACGACCAGAAAGGUAUGAAUGCAAAAACAAUGAAAAAAAUAAUCCACCGUAAAAAGGAAAUCAGAAGGAGUUUGAGUCAACUCUUUAUAGAGAACUGAAAUGCAGUUCUUGAGUAUUGGUGAACUACAAUGAAGGAGGGAUGGAGAAGAAGACACAAUCACAGACAGGGUGUGCUAUGGGCCAGAUUUCUUUAGGCCCCUCUCUACAAGAUCUGAAUUGGAGAAUAAGUUCUGGGUCUGCCACUUGAUUGCUCAGUGACCUCGGGUGGGAAAAGUCAUUCCAAACAAAAGCAAUAACUUGUCUAAAGGAGUGAGAGAAUAUUCACGAUCUACCAGUCAUUGAAAUGAAGAAUGUUUCUUGAGGAGCUAAAACUGGAAAGUUUCCCUAACUAAAAAGAGUCCAAACCAAAAGAGAUGCAGAACAGAAGCAAAAUACAAGGUCAUAGCUCCAUGUUUGCAGUGUAGAAAGCAUCCUUAAUCCUCUGGGUGACUGCAGAAAUUGUUCCAGGAGUGAACACAGGUUGAAUUCUUCAGGAGCAGUUGCCAGGACAGAGUUUGGAGACACGAUGUUUAUUAGAGAAAAGGAGAGGAAGCAAUUGCGCCGUGAUGCAGGAAGCUGUGGACUUAUAAUCAGUGGGACUCUGCUAUAUCCCUGGGGAAAUUGUGCCCUCUUUUGAGAAUCGAAUGUCUAACCAUGCAGAGCCCAGAGUUGCAGAAAUAGAGAGCACAGAAGACCCCAGUAGAUCAUUGAGAAUAAUGUUUCUGCUGUUUUCAUCUUGGAGCCCGGAGCAUCCAUGUGAGAAGUAUGACCACCCUGCUGCAGAGAUGUGUGGAGAAAAAAAUCUAACUUAUCCAUCAUCAUGGGAUUGAUAUAAGCUCUACUCCAACCUGUUCUAAGUCAAAAGUGCAGGAAGAACAGAUGUGGGCCUCUGGCAGAAGCAGAUUCUCCAUGGAGCUAAGAAAGCUCUAGCUUCAAGCACCUGCGUUUGGUGGUGACUUUUUCAAGGGCCUCAAGUGAUGUGUCCACAUGAUCA
rnacentral:lncRNA from 1 species